AGAGUUUGAUCAUGGCUCAGAACGAACGCUGGCGGCGUGGAUAAGACAUGCAAGUCGAGCGGGAUUUUUUCCUGUAGCAAUACAGGGAAAAGUCUAGCGGCGAACGGGUGCUUAACACGUGGGCAACCUGCCAUGAAGUGGGGGAUAGCUCGCCGAAAGGCGAAUUAAUACCGCAUGUGAUCAGAGUGGACAUCCAUUCGAAAUCAAAGUCGGGGCAACCUGACGCUUCUUGAGGGGCCCGCGGCCUAUCAGCUAGUUGGUGGGGUAACGGCCCACCAAGGCUUAGACGGGUAGCUGGUCUGAGAGGACGACCAGCCACACUGGGACUGAGACACGGCCCAGACACCUACGGGUGGCAGCAGUCGAGAAUUUUUCUCAAUGGGGGAAACCCUGAAGGAGCGACGCCGCGUGGAGGAUGAAGGUCUUCGGGUUGUAAACUCCUGUCAUUUGGGAACAAGGUGUGCGCGUUAACUGCGCGCGCAUUGAUAGUACCAGAAGAGGAAGAGACGGCUAACUCUGUGCCAGCAGCCGCGGUAAUACAGAGGUCUCAAGCGUUGUUCGGAUUCAUUGGGCGUAAAGGGUGCGUAGGCGGCGCGGUAAGUCGGGUGUGAAAUCUCGGAGCUUAACUUCGAAACUGCAUUCGAUACUGCCGUGCUUGAGGACUGGAGAGGAGACUGGAAUUUACGGUGUAGCGGUGAAAUGCGUAGAUAUCGUAAGGAAGACCAGUGGCGAAGGCGGGUCUCUGGACAGUUCCUGACGCUGAGGCACGAAGGCCAGGGGAGCAAACGGGAUUAGAUACCCUAGUAGUCC
rnacentral:rRNA from 1 species